rnacentral:tRNA from 1 species
CCGCCAUUAGCUUAUCAGGAAUAGCAGACGCCAGCCUUCGAAGCUGGUUUCGCGGGGUUCGAGUCUCCGAUGGCGGUCCA